GCUGCCGUAGCUCAACUGGCAGAGCAGCUGAUUUGUAAUCAGCAGGUUGUAGAUUCGAUUUCUAUCGGCAGCUCA
rnacentral:tRNA from 1 species